UGAUGAUUUCACAGAAUCACUUGAUCUGGCUCCUUGUGCUCUGGAUUCAGGAUGCCAAGGGACAGGUUGUGAUGACUCAGACGCCAGAAUUCCUGGCAGUGUCUCCUGGAGACACAGUCACUAUCCGCUGCAAAGCCAGUACCAAUGUUGGCAGCUACGUGGCCUGGUACCAACAGAAAUCAGGACAAGCUCCUAAACUCCUCAUCCACAGCGCCUCCACCCGUCCCUCUGGGAUCCCAGACCGGUUCAGCGGCAGUGGGUCUGGCACUGACUUCACAUUCACUAUCAACCGAGUAGAAGCUGAUGAUGCUGGAAAUUAUUAUUGUCAGCAAGGUACUAGCUUACCUCUCACAGUGAUACAGACCAAUACAAAAACCUCCCUGGGGCCUUCGGUUUCUGUUCCUCUUUGUAGCAGCUGUUUUCCUGCAGCCAGUCAAAGUGUCACACCAGCUGCUUCUGUGUCAUAG